GUAGGAGUGAACCAGCCAGCAUACAGUUAUAACUCAUUACUCAGAGAAAGAUGUUUAAUUAGCCAUGAAGUUAGUGUACAAUGAGAUUUCUAUUGGCUAUUUGUAGUCUCACUGGAUUGCCUUUUCAAGGUCCCCUCUGUGAUUCUUUUUUGCAUACAAUGAGAUGAGAGCCUAAAAGGAAAUUUGUUGGCAAUGUUGGCAUUUAUACUUCACCAUCAGGCAGGGAGCUCUGGGAAUUCAAGAGGCAAGGCUGCUGUUGGUUGGAUUAGUUUCAGAAGCAUCCUUUCAUCUUUCAAAUCAUUAGUGUGUAGUUCUGCAUAUGAAAAAGGAAGUUUUGCAGAAGCACAGGGUUAUAGGACCCAUGAAAUUUAACAGAGGCACAGAGCUAUAGGACUCAACAGUGUGAUCCCCAAAUUUUAGGGCAAUGAUAAGAAAAUACCAAUGUCUAAGACUGAAGCCAAUAUUAUCACAUUAAUUGAAUGAGAUUCAUCAUUUACAGAAAUCAUGUACCAAAACAGAUAAUAUUUUUAAAGUUUUCAUAAAUUUGAAUGCAAGGGCUCAUUGUCACAGACUCUUCCAAAUCCAAUCUCUGUUGUGACGAGACUGAGGUACUCUUGUUAAAUUAAGUGUAUGAGGGCAUGUGUGUGGGAAUGUUAGUCAUGGGUGUGCGUACGUAGGUACGUUAGGAAGGGGAGUGUGGAUGGAUAUUUAAUGUGCAUAGAGUAUAGACACGGAAGCCUGAAAACAGAUUUGUCAGUGUGGCUCCAACUCUGUUCUUGGCUUGUCGGUUUGGCUUGUGGAGUGUGGUGUGGCGUAUAGCAUGGUAGGGUGAGAUGGUUGCUGUGGUGGGGUGGCACAUUUGUGGAAGGGUGUGUGGCUCGGUGGGGUGGGUUGGUGUGUGGUGUGGUUGGACCUGGUAUGUGGUUUGAUGGGGUGCAGUUGGUGUGGACCGAGCGUUAGUGAGGGGUUUGGCAUGGGGUGUUGAUUAUGUGGGAUGUGGGAGGUGGAAGACCAGAAUAUAUGCGUGUGUGUGUGGACAGUGUGUAGAUAUGGGUGUGUGUGUGUGUGUGCGUGUGUAUGAUACAGUUGGAGCUUAGCUUAGCUUUUGUUUAGAUUUUCUUUUGCCCUUUGUUUUGGUCUUUGUUUUUGUCUUUGUUUGGCCUUUGUUUUGUCUUUGUUUCAUUCUUUGUUUAAACAUUCUUUGGCUUUUGUUUGGUCUUUCUUUAGCCUUUUGUUUAAACUUUGUGUGGCCUUUUUGUAGUCUCUGUAUAGCUUUGUUUUUAAGUGGAUCUUGGCGGAGAACUCAUCAAAAACACCUUCUGUAAUGAAAACCCCGGAUAUAUAAUCUGUCCCUAUAUAUUCUGCAUGCAUUGAGGUAGCCUCAACCCCUGCCCCCCAGGGACUUGGUGCAGACGUGGAACCUGUUUCACGCAACUGCUACUUGAAGGGAAAAAAGAAGCAAAUGAUACCGAGAAAAGCUCAUAACAGAGAUCUAUUCACCAGAUGUGUACGGAUGAAAAUACAGAUUGAAAAGGAAGACCAAGCCAACUCCUCGGAAGAAGUGAUGGAGGAGUUUCAAGUGAAUGGACAGCCUCGGCUCCUGGACUCACUGCUUCUUGACCCACGUGCCCUGGGACAGGUUAUCUGGCUUUGAAUAUGACGCAGGGGCAGACACCUGCUGAUGUGGCCACAGCCGAUGCCCACAGUCCCCAUGGCGCAGCAGCCACUGGGCAGCCUGCCUGGAGCAUUUUGAAGAUAUUGUCCUAUUGUCUCCUGACGUCUAUAAUUGCCAAUGAGAAAUACGUUGUCAGUCUGCUUGUCCUUCCAUUGACUCAAGUUUCUUCAAUCUGAAGGUAUAUAUCUUUCUUCAGGGAUGUGCAAAAAAAAAGAUAUUGUUGUACAACCACCAUAAUGGCAAAAAUUAAAAAUUACCAAGUUUUGGCAAGCAAAAUUACCAAGUGGGAAAAAUUCUCAUAAGCUACUUAUGAGAAUUUAUAAACUAUUACAACAUUUCUGGGGUGCAAUCUGGGGAUACCGGCAAAACAAGAUAUUGUAUAACCUACGGUCAAGCAAUUAUAAUUUUAGGCACCAAUCCUGAGAAAACUUGCAUUCAUAGAAAAAGGAGAUACAUGUACACCUGUUCAGUGAACUAAUCAAAAUGUCCAUCAAUAGGAGAAUAAACGAAUCAAUAAUAUAAUAUUCAUAAAUAAAAUCCCAAAUGGCAGUUAAAAUAAAUGAAUCAGAUACACUCAUACCAGGUAGACAAAUUUGGAAAACAAAAUGAAGAAUAUAAAAAAGCAAAAAGUAGAUGGUAAAUGCAGUAUGAUGCCCUAUGCAUAAAUGUUAACCACCCACAAUGCUAUCAUUGCCCAACACACAGAAACCAUAAGAUGUCACACCCUCUACAAUGCAAAAGAACUUAAAAAAUGACAACAGAAUAAAAGGAAGUCCAAGAAAUAUCUAUCCUCUUGGAAAUCAAAAAGAAGAUAAACAAUUCCUGAUUUGAAGAAAGAACAGAAAUUAAAAGCUAUAUAGAAACGGUCAACAGAAUUAGCCAGACACAAACGUGCUUGGGGAGGUAAGGGAGACUACUGAUCAACCUGCGGUCUCUCCAAGGUUACGAGUCUUAGAAAACAAACAUACUUGUUCAGAGUCAAUUUUUUAUCUGGGUUGUACUGUGGCUUCUGCUGGUUUCUGACAUAGGAAAAGGGGGAAGAGUUAGAAUGUACCCCUCCCUCUCUCCCAACUUUCUUUUGGUAACAGGUGGGAAAGCACAGUAGAAGAUAAUGGAACGUAGUAGAAUGUGGAGGGAUGUAAAAUGGGCAGUAUUAGGCGGAGGGAAACUCAGAGCACAGGAGAGCGAGAGCAUUGGGGCUGGUGUUGCGCUGGGAGCUGGGGCGGCCGAGCACAGGCAGAUGCCUGAAGCACCAACCGGGCCAUGGAUCUGUGUCCUUGAGUGAGCACAGCCAGACCUAGCCAAGCUUGAAGGGCAAGUGAGAAUCCGGGGGCAAUGCCAGGAGAAGUCCUGCUCUGGGUGUGGGGCUGGGCGAGAGGGAAUGCCAGGAGCAGGGAAGAAGCGUGCUAGACUCAGAUGGGCUUUAGCUCAGAACGCCACACUCCUGGAGAGAGGAAGCAGGCCAACUACUGUCCCAAGGCAGCUGGAGGGACAGAGCAUCCUGGCUUCCUCAUUUGGGGAGGCCACUUCUCUGUGGAAGUGGCCAUAAAAAGGCAGGGAAUCAAACUACACUGAGCCUUCAGGUAGAAAUGUUUCCUGCCUAAAUUCAGGUGCUAAAUGAACAACAAAAUGAGGACCUCUACUAUGAACAGUUCCCAAAGAUGAGAUAUCUGAGGCCAUUACAUUCCUGGGAAUAAAACCAGGGGUGCCAUGACAGACCACCAGAAAGAACAAAUUAGUGGGCCAGCCCCACUGAGACCUAAAGAGGAAACUUCAUAUUCCUUUAGCUCAUUUUAGAUUUGGCAAAGUCAGACCCUGUGCUCCGAACUUGCUGGGUUCUGUCAUCCACAUUAUCUAGAAGAUACCCAGUUACUAUAGAAUGUGACGUCAAGGAGAGAACAUGGUGUGUAUUAAUUUAUGUAAAAAACUGGAUAUCAGCACAGAAAUGUUAAUAACCAGAAAUGACUGAAUUCUCCAUGUUGUCUGUCGUGGAAAUAAAGGCCUCUGGGGAUGGAUCAAAAAUAUCUGGAAAUUACUUGAAACUGGUGAAUAACUAAAUGGAAUUAUAACUAAAAUGUUACUAAAUCCAAUUGUAUUUUUUGUCUUUUAAGGGUUGGUUCUGGGGAGCACUAUGCAGUGAAUAUUAUAAAAAUGACAUAAAGCUCUGAAAGCUACUCUAUGUAAAUUUCUCGAGUCGGAAUUCUCAACCCUAAUGUUUGGCAUAUUAUUCUGAUAAUUCUGUAUGUCAAUUGAUUUUGUGUUCUGACAUUUUGACCGGUUUUGGGAAAACUGAGGUAUGUACGCAGAGUUGUCCUGAUGAAAGCUUAAAAAACUGGCUGUCUGGGUGGAAAGUCCUGAUUGACAGUGUUUGCCAGUUUCCAUGGUGUAAAUACUUCCAUUAGGGUUGACUGCAAGCUAUGAACUUGCUAUCACUGAGUGUAGAAUUGUGAAGAGAUGUACAAAGUUGACCCUUGUGACUUGGUCUAGGCCACUGUAUACACUCAUGAGCCUGUGUGUAACCACAGUGUUUUACUAAAAAUGUUGCCCCAUAAAUAUACAAAGGCACUAUUGAAAGAAAAAAAUAUAAAGGGAAAAUCAAUUCCAAUUGGGAGCUCAAAGGGAGAAAACUGACAAAGGAUUUUUUUUAAACUUUGUCUAUAUUCUGCAAUUUAUUAUUAUCUUUUAUUAAACAAACAAGGCAUCUAUAUGUCAUCCUGAGUGUUCCAAACUCUCGGUUUCUUUGGUGUUCCCCUAGAUGGAGGCUAGGGUUUCUCUCCUUUCAGAUAUUGGUGCUAAGACGAUGCUGACCAAAGAAUCGAUGGGACCUGCUCACUGUGAAGCCAGUUUCAGGAUGGCAGAGCUGAGGGUGGAUACAGAAGAAAAGAUGUGGAGCCUUCUGAAUUUGGGGAGGCUAUGCUUGAUAUUUACACUUCUGGUUUGGUAUGAUAAUAUUAUAUUGCUUUUGAAAAAUUAAUGCUCACGGAAAUAAGAAAAAUCAGUUGUUCAAAAAUUGGGAAAAAAAUGGAUCAAUAAACUCUUCUAUUAGAGUAAGCCAAGAAAAAUGUAAUAAAAUUGAGAUGAAUUGGAAAUACCAAUAAAA